ensembl:lncRNA
CUGGAAUCUGGCUUCUAGGAAGUAUAGAGACCCCCUUGAAGCUGGAAUGAAAAGUGUAAGUUUAGCCUCUCAGCUGUGUGUCUCAAUCCAUAAUCCUGCCCCAAAACCCCAGCGGAGAGCAGCCUGACACUCCCAUGCCAUUCCUGACCAGUGAAGGCCUGGCCUGUGCAGAUUUAUGGAGUUCAGCGCCGUGCCUUACUCUCCUAGUUGGGCUGAGACUUUGAGUCAGACUGCUAAAAGUUGCACAAGAUUAAGAAGAAAAUAGAUCUGGUCCAGCAAGCUCCAAGCUACACAUCAUAAAGCGUCAUUAUGCAGGAGGUGUAUAAAGAAAAUAAAUAAGGCAAAAACUACUAUGCCAUGGGCUGCUCUUCUUUCCAAAUAAUACGGGACAGAUCAUUCUAUCCAUUUUCUACAGCUUUUGGUCAAAAGGACAAGAGAAGAAGAAAACGUUCAUGUUCCUAGAGGUCGGAGUCGCCGCACAAACACAGAUGAAGCGCAUCACCUUUCGCCAGCACGGCACAGGUAAGCCUGGCCCCGACUGAGCUGCUGGACCAGGGGUCAGGCUUGUGGCCCAGCAUGCAACUGGUCUCGGUCACAUCGGGUCCUCACACCCCAGAGAUGAGCUUGCAGACGGACGUCGUCUGAGACCUUUGAUGUGCGGCUACGAGAGUUUUUGUUACUGUGCUUUUAAUUAGGUCCAGCAGCUGCCUCUUCCUGGUCCGAAACUCCACUAUCUGCCUAAUCUCUUGCAGGUGGCCAUCACAAACACAACAAAAUCAGCCACUACUCUCAGGUGCACGACGUCCAGGGAGGAGCCGCUGCAUCAUGCUUCCAUCUGUUUGGCACAAACAGUCUGAUGCACAGAGGCUGAGCUAACACAGCCCAGUUGCAGUGAGACAUGGUUAAGAUUCACAGUUCUAUCACUACGACCAGCAUGUUCCCAGCUUACAGCCAAGCGGGUGUGAAAUUAUGCAAAUAUAUGCUUCCCGUCUAUCAUUUUUUGGCAAAUUUGAUGGCCCAAUUUCUUUAACAUUAUCCUUUAUAGAUUUAUUAGCAGGUUUGAGUGUGGUAAAAUGUUGAGGCAAACUUUCACAAUGGCACGAGAUUAGCUUCUCUGGUUUUCCUGAAGGAAUGUUUUGGGUUUGGUUUAGUUAAUCUCAGUCUACGAAAAAUAAAAAUUGUUACAAGUGAAGCACUCACAGUAAAACUAAAGUGAAUAGGGCCAUUUUGUAAAUAUGAAAAUAGCCACUGCUUUAACAGUGCACGUCAACGUCAACAACACGCAUGAUGUUAGUUUAAAAACACUUUGUAACAUUUUCCAUCUUAAAUUAUAUCUUAUUUUACAACUUUAUUGCCACAACAACAUAAAACCAUAAAACAACUGUAAAAAUGAUGAUUUUAAUAGCGUUACAGCUAAAAUAAUAAACAAGUUUUAAUUGAAUAAUAAUUGUAAGUGCUUUUAUAGAACUAUAAGCUUUCCAUUUGCGCUUUUAAAUGCUUCAAAAAUUGGCCCAUUCGCUUCCAUUGUAACUCCAUUUUUGCUUUUUUUAAUAUCCUAAUUCCUAAGUCCUAAUUAUUUUUCAUCUUAAUCAGCAUUACCAGACAAAUACAGUCAACUGCGAUUCUCAUGUAAAAAGUUGUGCAUGUAGCUCAAAAUUCAUCUAACAUCCACCUGUCUUUGUCACUCCCAAGUUAGUAGACUGAUGCACGGAACUUGACUAAAGAUGAAAUAUGGGAGGCUGGUUAGGCAUACUAAUACCCUGGAUUCAUUAAAUUAAUAGGGGUCUUAUUCCCCUUACCAUGGGUUCACAGAUGCCCUUUGAGUUUGCCGGGGCUAGAGGGUGUGCAGCACUUUGAAAGCCCUUACCGGCAUAUCGAGCGCAUUUUAAUACAGUCCUUUUGAGGCUCCUGGUAGGAUGCAGAGUAACUCCUCGCCUUUAAGUUCCCGCACCUCUCCAUGUGAUCUCGUCAGAUAGCCACGGCUGUGUCAGAUCAGGCCCAGGCUGCACAUACACUAGGGGGAUGGGGAGGGCCAUGCAAGGCAAAUUAGACCAGCGGUGUUCGUUUCUAUGUAGAGGCCAUUCUUUCCCAAAGACGUGAGUCCUUGAGAAGCAAGCGCUCAGGAGUGCUUUGAUGUGGAAAGGUGCCCAGUUUAAGGCUCUGAAACAGGAGGCUUUGGGAGAGAUUCAGUAGGAUUCCCUUCGGUGAUCAGCAGGGGAGGCUGCCCUCUCGUUGGUCAACAGCGUAUACUGUACAGAUUUAAUUACGCCAAGAAUGAAGUGCGUAGUCCAAAGAAAUCCUUGAUGCUGCCCGUUAUGACUGUCACAGCAUAUUCAAAACCAUCAAGCCACAAUAAGAGCCGAGCUUGGUGAUCACAGCCCGAAAAAUCAAAGAGGCUUCAGAAAACAACAACAAAAGGAAAUGCUAUGAAUGUUCUGGGAAAACAAUAUUGUUUUUCACUGCAGUUGCGCCUUUGCUAAUCUUACAAAUUUUUAAUGCACAGAAUCGGCACAAGGACAAAUAGCAAAGGAUUUCAAUGACAGCACAACACAUAAUCUACUUGUUUCGGUCUAUGAGCUUCAAAUAUAGGUUUAAUUAACAGACACAAAAUAUAAUGGCAUGCCAAUAUCCCUUUAACCAACAAUAAUACAACAGCCUUUUCAACAAGACCAAAAAUUUUUAAAGACACUACAAAGACAUUGCAGUGCAACUGAUUCAUAGAAACAGGAGGCUUUUACAGCACUUGGUUCUAUGUUACUGUAUGCAAUGGCUGGAUUCUCCACCAUAAUUCAGUUAAGGUAAAUUAAAUAAACAACCAAUAGCUGUUAACAAGGUUCUUGCUGUCACUGAAAAUGGCAUCUUGUAUUUGUUUACAGGCCAGCUAAAUGAUUUUGAAGCAAUGUUGUUUGCAACUGCAGAGAUUGUGGCUUGGUUAGAAACCAGGCACACACCCCACCCGACCACAGCCUUUUAAAAAGGGCUUUUUCCCUUUGGUCUUUGCACAGUGGUGUGGCAACUAUGGCUCACAGGUGGGAGCCUGCCUCUUCCAAAUAAGCUUCCUCACUAAGGACGGGAUUUGGCGCUGUUAUUUUUCUAUUAGGGCGGAAUAAUGUUAAGCCUUCAGAGGCCAUCUUUCUGUUGCUAUGGUAGCCCAUAUUUCCUGCAGGUUUGCGACCCUGAGUGACUAGAGUGCAAAGCCAAAUACCACAGACCCUGUGAGGAUCAGAAAUGUGGCCUUACAAUUAUGGAAAACAGCUCGAAUCUGACCGGACCUUAGCGAGACUGAGUGACAAGUUUAUUGAGAUCUCUUUUUUCAAUUCAUCAUGUCAGUAGCGAAUUCAAAAAUCACUUGUCACAUCUCCAAGUGCACGUCUCCACGCCCAUCUGUUGGUUUAUACACCAGUUGGAAUUGAAAUUGCUCUCUCUUUGGCCAAAAUGUUAACAGUCUUUUUGAGAAAAACACACCCGCUAAUUUACAGAAAUUUACAGAUGAGGCGCGUACUGUCCUAAUAAGAGCAAAAGCCACAUUAUAACCAAGAAAACACACUCAUAACAAGCACACAAGAAAAAAUGAAAUACUUUACGAGACAUUUCGGGUAACUUACCUUGACUAUUUGAGAAAGACAGGAAAGGAGACGCGAGCAACCAAACUUGACUUGCAUUACCUCACAACAACAACAACAGGAAAUGACCCAAAAUGUUUUAAAAAUUAAUUAAUAGAAGCAUAUUUCAGCGUCAGCAGAGUAAUCAAUGUUCAUCUUAAUAUUUGUAUUUGAUUAGGAGAUAAAAAUAAAAGAUAAAAAUAUAAAAAUAGAUGAUUUCAUGAGCAACGAAAAUACAUUUUAUGACACAAUAAAAACACGUUUUGUAAAUCAGUGAUUUUUUUUUAAUGUUGUAUGUCAUAAAACUUAUAAUGAUAACUAAAGUAGUUUCAAAAUUUAAAACAUAUCUCUAAACUUUCUGGAAAAUAACGUCGAGUACAAUGGUAGGCUGCUACACUAAUAGGAUAUGGGUGCUUCAAAUGUUCGUUUAAAACAAAUUUAGCCUCAUUAAAAAGUAAUUAUCCUGCCUUCAGAAUAAUUAUUUUGGCACCCCCCAUCGCCAUCCCACACCCAGCCAAGUGUCAUGUCAUUUUAAAUAUUUUAAUAAAAAAUAUUUUAGUCAAAAGUGCAAAUGAAAUUGAAAACAUAAUAAAUAAAAUUGCAUAAAACAUAGGAUAAUAACUUACAUAACUUACAAACAACUUACGGAACACCUUACAUAACUUCAAAUACAUUUUGUAUUUUAAAAUAUUAUAAAAUACAUAAAAGGAUAGCAUACAAAUAUAUAAAUAACAUAGGAAAACAUCACUUACAGUGUGUGUGUGUGUGUGUGUGUGCGUGUGCGUGUGCGUGUGCGUGUGUGUGUGUGUGU